AAGCCGGCCCUUUUCAGGGCCACAAAAUGAAACUUUGUAAUAUUU
rfam:Oikopleura dioica, whole genome shotgun assembly, reference scaffold set, scaffold scaffold_101